UACACACCACUUUAACAAGGAUUAUAAAGUCUGCGCUACACUACAUUCUUUAUUAUUAAACAGAGUAAUUAGAACAAGCACAGUCUACAUUAAUUGACAUAUUCGAUUAAUGUGAUUCUAAGGUGAUUCUGAGUUGACUCUUUCUUUUGAGAGACUAUCUUUAUUUAUCAUGCACUUUUUUGAUUAACAACUUUGCAGAAUGUUUACAUUGAAGGAUAGAUAUCUUACAAACUGCAAAAGAGAGAUUUUUC